GCCCGGGCCCCAAGCGGCCUCCGGAGCCGUGUGCGCAGGUUCGAAUCCUGCCGGGGGCACCA
rnacentral:tRNA from 1 species